rnacentral:lncRNA from 1 species
CAACUCUAACAUCUUGAUUUAUUUCAACACUUAUGUCUCAACUAACCUCAACUCUAACAUCUCAAACCUCUCAUUCCAACAGGACUGGCGCCCAGAGAGCAAAGCUCGACCAGGGACCUUACCUCCAGUCCGGUCACUUAACUCUCAGCCUUAGCCUUUCGGCUCUCUUAUCCAAUAAGACUGGCGCCCAGAGAGCAUAGCUCGACCAGGGACCUUACCUCUAGUCUGGUCACUUAAAUUUCCAAAUAAGCCGGCGCCCAGAGAGCAAUGCUCGACCAGGGACCUUUACUCCGGCAACCACACUCUACUAAGCCCAGAGAGCGAUGCUCGACCAGGGCAGGUCCUAAUCUUUCUUUCUUAAAAUUUUUACCUCUUUACCCUUUUCCUAUCUCUCUCAUAUUAUAUUGGAACACUCAUCCAACUCCUAUGUUCUACUGCCGUCCCAUCCUGAGUCAUCAUGCAAUAUUAAAA